CACGUAGGGCGCAAGCGUUGUCCGGAAUCAUUGGGCGUAAAGCGCGCGUAGGCGGCCCUGUAAGUCCGUUGUGAAAGUCAAAGGCUCAACCUUUGAAAGCCGAUGGAUACUGCAGGGCUAGAGUCCGGAAGAGGCGAGUGGAAUUCCUGGUGUAGCGGUGGAAUGCGCAGAUAUCAGGAGGAACACCAAUAGCGAAGGCAGCUCGCUGGGACGGUACUGACGCUAAGGCGCGAAAGCGUGGGGAGCAAACAGG
rnacentral:rRNA from 1 species